rnacentral:rRNA from 1 species
CGCCCAUCAGCUAGCCGCCUCCCCUAAGAACAACAAACCCCCAUCAAUACCCCCUAAAACACUCAACAACACAUAAACAAACCAUUUUUCCUCCCAAGUACGGGCGACAGAAAAGGAACUGCCGCGCUAUAGAGAGAGUACCGCAAGGGAACGCUGAAAGAGAAAUGAAAUAACCCAGUAAAGCCUAAAAAAGCAGAGAUUUAACCUCGUACCUUUUGCAUCAUGAUUUAGCUAGUAAAUGUCAAGCAAAGAGCACUUUAGUUUGACCCCCCGAAACUAUGUGAGCUACUCCGAGCCAGCCUAGCAAUAGGGCAAACCCGUCUCUGUGGCAAAAGAGUGGGAAGAGCUUUGAGUAGAGGUGACAGACCUAUCGAACUUAGUUAUAGCUGGUUGCCUGAGAAACGAAUAGAAGUUCAGCCUCCCGGCUUUCUCCCCUCACCCCGCUUAUUAUUACACACUAAUGACCAAGAGAAACCAAGAGAGUUAGUAAAAGGGGGUACAGCCCCUUUGACACAAGACACAACUUUCCCAGGAGGGAAAAGAUCAUACUUAAAUAUAAGGUAAAAUGUUUUGGUGGGCCUAAAAGCAGCCACCCCUAUAGAAUACGUCAAAGCUCAGACAUAUUUACCACCCAAAAUCCCGACAAUUUUAUCUUAGCCCCCUAAUAUUACCAGGCCGCCCCAUGCACCCAUGGGAGCGACCAUGCUAAUAUGAGUAAUAAGAGGGCAAAUCAGCCUCUCUCCUCGCACAAGUGUACUUCGGAUCGGACCCCUACCGAAUCUUAACGACCCCAAACAAAGAGGGCCCUGAACAACAGACCCACCUACUAGAAAAACACUCACUAUACUAAUCGUUAAACCCACACUGGUGUGCCUUCAAGGAAAGACUAAAAGAAAAGGAAGGAACUCGGCAAACACAUAAGCCUCGCCUGUUUACCAAAAACAUCGCCUCUUGCAAAACAUGAAUAAGAGGUCCUGCCUGCCCGGUGACCAUGUUGUUCAACGGCCGCGGUAUUUUAACCGUGCAAAGGUAGCGAAAUCACUUGUCUUUUAAAUGAAGACCAGUAUGAAAGGCAACACGAGGGCUUGACUGUCUCCCCUUUCAAGUCAAUGAAAUUGAUCUUCCCGUGCAGAAGCGGGAAUUCCUCCAUAAGACGAGAAGACCCUAUGGAGCUUUAGACACCAAGGCAGGCCACGUCAAAACUCCCUUAAAAAGGACCAAACUAGUGUACCCUGGUCCCGAUGUCUUUGGUUGGGGCGACCGCGGGGAAGCACAUAACCCCCGCGUGGAAUGGAAGCACUACUAUUUUUGCUCCUACAAAUGAGAGCUCCCACUCUAGUGAACAGAAUUUCUGACCUACAAGAUCCGGCAACGCCGAUUAACGAACCGAGUUACCCUAGGGAUAACAGCGCAAUCCUCUCUUAGAGCCCAUAUCGACGAGAGGGUUUACGACCUCGAUGUUGGAUCAGGGCAUCCUAAUGGUGCAGCCGCUAUUAAGGGUUCGUUUGUUCAACGAUUAAAGUCCUACGUGAUCUGAGUUCAGACCGGAGCAAUCCAGGUCAGUUUCUAUCUAUGCCAUGAUCUUAUCUAGUACGAAAGGACCGAAAAGAAGAGGCCCAUGCUCCAAGUACGCCCCUCCCUCACCUAAUGCAACCAACUAAAAUAGACAAGAGGGCAUACACCCACGUUCUCGAAAAGAACCC